UUAUAAAUAAUAAUUAAUUAAGAAGAAAUUAAAUGUAAUCAUUAAAUUUAAAUAGUUUGGCGGUACUUUAAAUAAUUAGAGGAAUUUGUUAAUUAAAUGAUAGCCCACGAAUGGAGAGUCCUAAUGAAGUUUUUAUAUAUUGUUGUAUAAAAAUUAUUUUAGAAGAAUUAUGAUUGAGAUAUUUAAUUUAAUUUGAAUAUAAAUCAAAAUGUAGAAUUAUUAGGAUUAAAUGAAUUACAAUUUAUUAAAAUAUUAGAAUUAUUUUUUAAAUUAAAAUAAUGAAAGAGGAUUUAAAAGUAAAUUUAAAUAAAUUUUUAAAUUGAAAGAUUAACUAAAGUAUG
rnacentral:rRNA from 1 species